GUGUCAGCAGCCGCGGUAAUACGUAGGGGGCUAGCGUUGUCCGGAUUUAUUGGGCGUAAAGAGCGUGUAGGCGGCCAGAUAGGUCUGCUGUGAAAACUCGAGGCUCAACCUCGAGCUGUCGGCGGAAACCAUUUGGCUAGAGUCCGGAAGAGGAAAGUGGAAUUCCUGGUGUAGCGGUGAAAUGCGCAGAUAUCAGGAAGAACACCCGUGGCGAAGGCGGCUUUCUGGGACGGUACUGACGCUGAGACGCGAAAGCGUGGGGAGCGAACAGGAUUAGAAACCCUGGUAGUCC
rnacentral:rRNA from 1 species